AAUUGUUUUAAAAUUGCGUGCGAAAUUUGAAAAGGUCUGACGGUGGUUUACGAGGGAAAAUUCGGAGCGCGAGGUUCAAUUCAUGGGUCAUUAGGACCAUUUCGGAAAAUCUCUCCUGCCUCCGCGACUAAACCCGUUCCUGAUAGUCGCGAUACUUGUGAGAGACGUGAGAGAGUCGUAAGAUUCGCGAAUCGUACGAGGAGAACGACGGAGGCGGCAGGAGGAGGAAGUGGGAGGUAGAAGGAGGUGAUACACAUACACGUACUCGCGAGCGAUGGGGUUCGAUGUGAACCGCUUCCAGGGCGACGUGGACGAGGAGCUCGUCUGUCCGAUAUGUUCUGGCGUGCUUGAAGACCCUGUCCAGGUGAGUAAUGUGUUACAGGCACCAGUGUGUGAACAUGCCUUUUGCCGCACGUGUAUCAACGAAUGGAUAAAUCGCCAGCCUACGUGCCCCUUGGACCGUACGCCCAUCACAUCCACUCAGCUUAGAGCAGUUCCCAGAAUCUUGAGAAAUCUGUUGGCCCGCUUGUGUAUCAAAUGCGACAACAUUAUGUACGGUUGUAACAUGGUUGUCAAGUUAGAUUGCCUGGCGAUGCAUCUCGAGCAGUGCGAAUACAAUCCGAAGAGACCAAUGCAGUGCGAGCAGGGUUGUAGCUUGAUUAUUCCCAAGAACGAACUCAAGGAUCACAACUGCGUGCGCGAGCUCCGUAAUCUGAUACAGUCGCAGCAGCAAAAACUAAGCGAUAUGAAGCGUGAACUCGAUGAACAGCAGCUGCAAAUUAAUGAACAUAAACGUGAGAUUCAUCUUUUGAAAGACUUUAUGCGCGCGCUUAGAGUAUCAAAUCCGGCGAUGCGUGCAAUUGCUGAUCAGAUGGAACGAGACGACGUCGUCAGAUGGUCCGCGUCUUUACCACGCGCUAGAGUUACGAGAUGGGGCGGUAUGAUCUCCACGCCUGACGAAUUGCUGCAGACGAUGAUCAAGAGAACUCUGUCAGAGUACAAUUGUCCACCUCAUGUGAUUGACGAGCUGAUGGAAAACUGCCACGAGAGGAAAUGGCCACCAGGUCUUAAUUCACUGGAGACUAGACAGAACUCUCGACGACAAUACGACAACUACGUGUGCAAAAGAGUACCUGGCAAACAAGCGGUGCUGGUCCUCCACUGUGAUAAUAUGCACAUGCCGGAGGAUAUGAUGGUCGAGCCUGGGUUAGUGAUGAUCUUUGCACAUGGUAUCGAGUAGAAUUGUUGGACAGCGUAUAUGAAUACGAUUAAUUAAACACCAUCGCGGGUUCAGAAACACUGAUGUCCACAUCGCUUACGUGGAGAGAACGAAUUUCCUCGACCAUAAUUUGCGAACUGAUUAAACUCGGCGUAACCCUUCCAACUGAAGCCCGGAAA
rnacentral:misc_RNA from 1 species